AACGAACGCUGGCGGCGUGGAUAAGACAUGCAAGUCGAACGGGACAGGUAGCAAUAUCUGUCCAGUGGCGAACGGGUGCGUAACACGUGGGCAACAUGCCUGGAAGAGCGGGAUAGCCCGGGGAAACUCGGAUUAAUACCGCAUGUGACAACGGGGCGGAUUCGCCCUGUUUUCAAAGGUGGGGACCGCAAGGCCUGCCGCUUCCAGAUUGGCCCGCGGCCUAUCAGCUAGUUGGCGAGGUAAAAGCUCACCAAGGCGACGACGGGUAGCUGGUCUGAGAGAACGACCAGCCACACUGGAACUGAGACACGGUCCAGACACCUACGGGUGGCAGCAGUCGAGAAUCUUUCACAAUGGGGGAAACCCUGAUGGAGCGACGCCGCGUGGAGGAUGAAGGUCUUCGGAUUGUAACUCCUGUCAUGAAAGAACAAGCGAUGCGGGUGAACAGCCCGCAAGGUUGAUAGUAUUUCAAGAGGAAGGGACGGCUAACUUCGUGCCAGCCGCCGCUGUAAGAC
rnacentral:rRNA from 1 species